UACGUAGGGGGCAAGCGUUGUCCGGAUUUACUGGGCGUAAAGCGCGUGUAGGCGGGACGGCAAGUCGGACGUGAAAGGCUGCGGCUCAACCGCAGACGGCCGUUCGAAACUGCCGUUCUUGAGGGCCGAAGAGGAGAGUGGAAUUCCCGGUGUAGCGGUGAAAUGCGUAGAGAUCGGGAGGAACACCAGAGGCGAAGGCGGCGACCUGGACAGGUACUGACACUCAACUACGAAAGCGUGGGGAGCAAACAGG
rnacentral:rRNA from 1 species